rnacentral:rRNA from 1 species
GAUGAACGCUGACAGAAUGCUUAACACAUGCAAGUCAACUUGAACUUCGGUUUGGGUGGCGGACGGGUGAGUAACGCGUAAAGAACUUGCCUCACAGCUAGGGACAACAUUUGGAAACGAAUGCUAAUACCUGAUAUUAUGAUUUUAGGGCAUCCUAGAAUUAUGAAAGCUAUAUGCGCUGUGAGAGAGCUUUGCGUCCCAUUAGCUAGUUGGAGAGGUAACGGCUCACCAAGGCGAUGAUGGGUAGCCGGCCUGAGAGGGUGAACGGCCACAAGGGGACUGAGACACGGCCCUUACUCCUACGGGAGGCAGCAGUGGGGAAUAGUGGACAAUGGACCAAGAGUCUGAUCCAGCAAUUCUGUGUGCACGAUGAAGUUUUUCGGAAUGUAAAGUGCUUUCAGUUGGGAAGAAAAAAAUGACGGUACCAACAGAAGAAGAGACGGCUAAAUACGUG